rnacentral:rRNA from 1 species
UCAGAACGAACGCUGGCGGCAGGCCUAACACAUGCAAGUCGAACGCCCCGCAAGGGGAGUGGCAGACGGGUGAGUAACGCGUGGGAACAUACCCUUCGGUUCGGAAUAGCUCAGGGAAACUUGGGUUAAUACCGGAUACGUCCGUAAGGAGAAAGAUUUAUCGCCGAAGGAUUGGCCCGCGUCUGAUUAGCUUGUUGGUGAGGUAAUGGCUCACCAAGGCGACGAUCAGUAGCUGGUCUGAGAGGAUGACCAGCCACAUUGGGACUGAGACACGGCCCAAACUCCUACGGGAGGCAGCAGUGGGGAAUAUUGGACAAUGGGCGAAAGCCUGAUCCAGCCAUGCCGCGUGAGUGAUGAAGGCCUUAGGGUUGUAAAGCUCUUUUACCCGGGAAGAUAAUGACGGUACCGGGAGAAUAAGCCCCGGCUAACUUCGUGCCAGCAGCCGCGGUAAUACGAAGGGGGCUAGCGUUGUUCGGAAUUACUGGGCGUAAAGCGCACGUAGGCGGAUUUUUAAGUCAGGGGUGAAAUCCCGAGGCUCAACCUCGGAACUGCCUUUGAUACUGGGAAUCUUGAGUCCGGGAGAGGUGAGUGGAACUGCGAGUGUAGAGGUGAAAUUCGUAAAUAUUCGCAAGAACACCAGUGGCGAAGGCGGCUCACUGGCCCGGUACUGACGCUGAGGUGCGAAAGCGUGGGGAG